GGAUCUUAGCUGUAACGUGACAAUUCCCAGGGCUCCAAUAGGCUCUCAGAACCCGGGAAAAACCUGAACGAUGACGAGGCAGCCUCUGGCUGAAACAGAUUAUCGCCUUAUCCAAGUGGCCGAUCAGAGGACCAUUGAAUGCACGAUUCGCCCCCGUGGAGAAAUUUAAUUCGGCUGUUUAGCUUAUUGCAGAUUCCCGGUCGGAAUAUUAUCGCUUUUCUACGAGAUAAAUGGCAUAAAAAUUGGUUUUAAACAGCGGUUGACAUGCUUCGAAGUACGGUAAUGGAAUAUUUAGACAUUUUUUGUCACGCCAUGCGCACGACCGUUAUUUACCAUUCGUAUAGUGUGUAGAACGCACGAACAAAACAGAGGAUAUUUGGAUAUAACGAUGGAUUAUUUGGGACCAAACCUACAUUUGUUAUUGAAGUAGAAGUCCUGGGAGUGCAUUCUGACGAAGAACAGGAAAGAUAUGAAAAGCUGUGAAAGCAUUUUUGAUGAAUAGAGAGGUCCCAAUGAAUGUCCCAAGAGACUAAGUGUCACGGAUCCCCCGGUACUGCUGCUCAUUCUGUUCACCAGUUCCGGAGGUCGACGUCACCGGCCUUCUAAGCUGCACUGAACUUUGUCAUUACACACAUCUGGUUCCCAUUGCAGUAAUAUCUAACAAGUGAUCUAACACUUUCACAACAACUACCUUACACACAAGUGUAAAGGAAUGAAUAAGAAUAUGUACAUAUAAAUAUGGAUGAGAGAUGGCCGAACGGCAUAGGCAGGAUGCAGUAGAUGGUAUAGAGUACAGUAUAUACAUAUGAGAUGAGUAAUGUAGGGUAUGUAAACAUUAUAUAAAGUGGCAUUGUUUAAAGUGACUAGUGAUACAUGUAUUACAUCCAAUUUGUAAUUAUUAAAGUGGCUAGAGAUUUGAGUCAGUAUGUUGGCAGCAGCCACUCAAUGUUAAUGAUGGCUGUUUAACAGUCUGAUGGCCUUGAGAUAAGAAGCUGUUUUUCAGUCUCUCGGUCCCAGCUUUGAUGCACCUGUACUGACCUCGCCUUCUGGAUGAUAGUGGGGUGAACAGGCAGUGGCUCAGGUGGUUGUUAUCCUUGAUGAUCUUUUUGGCCUUCCUGUGACAUCGGG
rnacentral:lncRNA from 1 species